rfam:Sphingomonas sp. TDK1 TDK1_contig_18, whole genome shotgun sequence.
GUCGUGGUCCGGGCCCCUCUGGCGGCGACCCGACAAGUCCUCGCGAUGUCGGGCCACGACA